UACAGAGGGGGCAAGCGUUGUUCGGAAUUACUGGGCGUAAAGGGCGCGUAGGCGGCCUGUUAAGUCGAACGUGAAAUCCCCGGGCUCAACCCGGGAACUGCGUCCGAUACUGGCAGGCUUGAAUUCGGGAGAGGGAUGCGGAAUUCCAGGUGUAGCGGUGAAAUGCGUAGAUAUCUGGAGGAACACCGGUGGCGAAGGCGGCAUCCUGGACCGAGAUUGACGCUGAUGCGCGAAAGCUAGGGGAGCAAACGGG
rnacentral:rRNA from 1 species